UACGGAGGGAGCUAGCGUUGUUCGGAAUUACUGGGUGUAAAGCGCACGUAGGCGGCUUUGUAAGUUAGAGGUGAAAGCCCGGGGCUCAACUCCGGAACUGCCUUUAAGACUGCAUCGCUUGAACAUCGGAGAGGUAAGUGGAAUUCCGAGUGUAGAGGUGAAAUUCGUAGAUAUUCGGAAGAACACCAGUGGCGAAGGCGACUUACUGGACGAUUGUUGACGCUGAGGUGCGAAAGCGUGGGGAGCAAAACAGG
rnacentral:rRNA from 1 species